UGCAGUCCCUCCAUCAGUCUCUCUGGAGAUUGGAUAAUCUUCAUUAUGCUCCUGUCCCUCCUGAGACAUGCACAGUCCUCCAGGUGUCCUCCCACCAGUGCUGAGGAGAGAGGAGGGAACAUCUCCCUGGAGCUGCUGGCAAUACUUUGCCUAAAAGGCAUCUGAGGAGUCUUUCAGUGCUGCAAGGACACUCUGCUGGCUCAUGUUCACCUUGUGUCCACCAGGAACCUCAGGUAAAACACAUCAGUCUAAUGACAGAAGAGAGUUUAAAGGAGGACUUUGAAGAGAGAAAACCAGCAGACUGUUGCAUGAAGAGAAAAGGCUGAUAGAGCAGCAGUCAUGCUGCACAGCCGUAGUGACUCAGUUGGUUAGGACAUUUGCUAAAAGUAUGCUAGGCUGCCCAAGAAAAGAAAAUAUAAAGAUUUCUCCAAGAAAAAGGGGAAAAGGGGGGAAGGGAGAACUGACCAAUAAUAUCUGGUGUCAAGCUGAAGGAAAGAAAUGUUAGAGUUGUUGCUGCUUUCAAAGAUGGCAACUGAAAGAUGGUGGAGAAUUUCAGAGAAGUUACAAAAGGAGAAAAAUUAAUAAAUGCAUAUUGAUUUAUUUUUUAUUCAGCAUUUAAGAGAGUUGUGCAGAGAGGAGAGUCAGGAAAGGGAUAGGCAUGAGAAUAUGGGUGAGAGGUGAUUGACAAAGGUGUACAGAUUGUUCAAAAAAUUCAAACAGACUAAAGUUGGUUUAUAUCUGAGUACCCAAUAAUGUGAGUUUUGGAAGGAAGGAACAACUAUUUCUCCUUUUGUAAUCUUCACUAAUAUCCUGGAAAUGCCACAUGAGUGACUGGGAAUCCAUCUCUGCAUGGAAAAAAAGUCAAAGGAACAAGUACUGGAGAAAAAAGAAGCUGAGAACAGAAGUUAUGACUGUCCCAAGAUGUGGUUUAGGAUGGAGCACACACAGCAAUAAUUUGAGUAAUAUCAAAGAAUUAAAAUAGUAAAAUAGUCGAGCGAUCACACAAUUCGGGUUCCAAGCCAAGUGUCCUGCUCUCCAUUCACAAAGUAAAGGCAGAACAUGUGGCAGCCUGAUUAAUUUAGUUCUGUACGAUUAAAAUAAAGGCAUUGAAGUAUCCCUGAAGGUCUUCUCAUCUUCCCAACCUCCUACUUGAUUUUCACCUUCCCAUUUCUGGUCUAUUGUCAAGAGGCACAGAUUUCCAGCUCCCAGGCUGCAUUGACUGUCUUGAUCAAGAGAUUCUGCUUCAAAAGACUGUGAGAAAGGUUUGAAGAUUUCACCUCCUGAGGCUCACUGACCUGUACCCAUCUUUCACAUGGUACCUCUGACUGUGGGGCUCUCCUGACACACUAAAGCAGCUCUACAAGAACAGAAGAAAAGCAAGAAAAGCACACACUUUCUCGGAAUAUGCCAAAUGUUCUGGGUGACAUCUGUGGUCUUGUUGACCUGCUUUGGGAUUCUCAGUGCGCACGUGUGGCUCAGAGGAGUCUUGUACAUGAGCUACAGUUCAAUUACUGGCAAGAAAUAUUUCUGUCCAUGAACUCAGGGACAAUGGAGAUCCCUUGCUCUCUAGGAAGACCAGCUCCCUCCAAAGAAAAGAGGAAUUAGGGACAGGGAUCUCUGGUGUCUGCAUCAGGAAGAGCAAUGCCAGCAAGCCAACAGAAGUGAUCCUGCCCCUCUACUCAGCCCUGGUGAGUGAGACUGGGAUCCUCAGUGCAAGAGAGACAAGAAGUCACUGGAGAGGGUCUGAAAAAGUGAUUAAAGGAUUGGAGCAUCUCUCUUAUGGGAAGAGACUGCAGGAUCUGGGCUAUUCAGUCUGGAGAAGAGAAGACUGAGAGGAGAUCUCAUCAAUGCAUACAAAUUUCUCCAAGGCAGGUGUGACAGUGGUCACAGGGGUUCUUGGAUGAGG